rnacentral:rRNA from 1 species
AGGGCGCAGGGUGGAUGCCUUGGCACUAAGAGCCGAUGAAAGACGUGAUAAGCUGCGAAAAGCUUCGGGGAGGAGCACAUAUCCAAUGAUCCGGAGAUAUCUGAAUGGGGAAACCCGGCAGAGGAAACCUCUGUCAGCGUGCAGUGAAUACAUAGCUGUACGUGGGGAACCCGGGGAACUGAAACAUCUAAGUACCCGGAGGAAGAGAAAGAAAAUUUAUCGAUUUCCAAAGUAGCGGCGAGCGAAAUGGAAAGAGCCCAAACCGUGAUGCGUGCAUCGCGGGGUUCGGACUGCGUUGUGGCAGACGUAAGAUAGGAGAACGGACUGGGAAGUCCGGCCGGAGAGAGUGAAAGCCUCGUAUCCGAAAUCCCAAGUCGCCUAGCAGGAUCCAGAGUAGGACGAGACACGAGAAACCUUGUCUGAACGAGCGGGGACCACCCCGUAAGGCUAAAUACUUCUUAGUGACCGAUAGCGCAUAGUACUGUGAAGGAAAGGUGAAAAGUACCCCGGGAGGGGAGUGAAAGAGAACCUGAAACCCUGUGUCUACAAGCUGUGGGACCUCUUUAUAUGAGGGACUGCGUACUUUUUGUAGAACGGUCCGGCGAGUUGUGCGUACUGGCGAGGUUAAGGACUUAAGGUCUGGAGCCGAAGUGAAAGCAAGCGUUAAUAGCGCGUCAAGUCAGUGAGUGCAGACCCGAAACCGGGUGACCUAUCCAUGUCCAGGUUGAAGCUUCCGUAAGAGGAAGUGGAGGACCGAACCCACAUCCGUUGAAAAGGGUGGGGAUGAGGUGUGGAUAGCGGAGAAAUUCCAAUCGAACCCGGAGAUAGCUGGUUCUCCUCGAAAUAGCUUUAGGGCUAGCCUCAUGAGAGUCUUAUGGAGGUAGAGCACUGAAUUGCCUAGGGGGCGUCAAAGCUUACCAAAGCAUAUCAAACUCCGAAUGCCAUCAAGAUGAUUCAUGGGAGUCAGACCAUACGAGAUAAGUUGGAUGGUCAAAAGGGAAAGAGCCCAGACCUACAGCUAAGGUCCCAAAGUACGUGUUAAGUGGAAAAGGAUGUGGGGAUUCUAAGACAACUAGGACGUUGGCUUAGAAGCAGCCAUUCAUUGAAAGAGUGCGUAAUAGCUCACUAGUCGAGAGUCCCUGCGCCGAAAAUGUCCGGGGCUGAAACACGACACCGAAGCUUAGGAAUGUGUAAACAUUGGUAGAGGAGCAUUGCUAGCGGGAUGAAGCCAUACCGUAAGGAGUGGUGGACUGCUAGGAAGAGAGAAUGCCGGAAUGAGUAGCGAGAUGAAGGUGAGAAUCCUUCAGGCCGAAUAUCUAAGGUUUCCAGAGUAAAGCUGAUCUGCUCUGGGUAAGUCGGGACCUAAGGCGAGGUCGAAAGACGUAGUCGAUGGAUAACAGGUUGAAAUUCCUGUACCGCAUAUAAACAGAACUGUGGGGACACAGACAGGGAAUGGAAUCCGGGAGUGGAGAUCCCGGUGCAAGCGAGGUAGGAGUGCUGUUGGCAAAUCCGCAGCACGAUCUGAAGACGUGACGCGUACCGAACAUAAGUAGGGAAGUCCAGGCCCCUGGCUGUCAAGAAAAGCCGCUAUCGUUUUAUAUGUGCCCGUACCGCAAACCGACACAGGUGGAUGAGGAGAGAAUCCUAAGGCCGACGGGAGAAGUAUUGUUAAGGAACUCGGCAAAAUGACUCCGUAACUUCGGGAGAAGGAGUGCCAUGUAAAAGUGGCCGCAGAGAAUUGGCCCAAGCAACUGUUUAGCAAAAACACAGGUCUAUGCAAAACCGAAAGGUGAGGUAUAUGGGCUGACGCCUGCCCGGUGCUGGAAGGUUAAGGGGAGAGGUUAGCGCAAGCGAAGCUUUGAACUUAAGCCCCAGUAAACGGCGGCCGUAACUAUAACGGUCCUAAGGUAGCGAAAUUCCUUGUCGGGUAAGUUCCGACCCGCACGAAAGGCGUAAUGAUUUGGGCACUGUCUCAACAAUGCACCCGGUGAAAUUGAAAUACCAGUGAAGAUGCUGGUUACCUGCGCCAGGACGGAAAGACCCCAUGGAGCUUUACUCCAGCUUGAUACUGGGAUUCGGUAUUGCAUGUACAGGAUAGGUGGGAGGCUAAGAAGUGGUAACGCCAGUUGCCAUGGAGCCGCUGUUGGGAUACCACCCUUGCAGUACUGGGUUUCUAACCAGCAGCCGUGAUCCGGCUGGGGGACAAUGUCAGGUGGGGAGUUUGACUGGGGCGGUCGCCUCCGAAAGGGUAUCGGAGGCGCUCAAAGGU